GCCGUCGUGGCGCAAUGGUAGCGCAUCGCCUUCCUAUUAUAAUGCAAAAGGCGGGGGUUGCGGGUUCGAUCCCCGUCGGCGGUA